AUACGUAGGGGGCGAGCGUUGUCCGGAAUGAUUGGGCGUAAAGGGCGCGUAGGCGGCCCGGUAAGUCUGGAGUGAAAGUCCUGUUUUUAAGAUGGGAAUUGCUUUGGAUACUGUCGGGCUUGAGUGCAGGAGAGGUAAGUGGAAUUCCCAGUGUAGCGGUGAAAUGCGUAGAGAUUGGGAGGAACACCAGUGGCGAAGGCGACUUACUGGACUGUAACUGACGCUGAGGCGCGAAAGUGUGGGGAGCAAACAGGAUUAGAUGCCCUGGUAGUCCACACUGUAAACGAUGAAUGCUAGGUGUAGGGGGUAUCGACCCCUUCUGUGCCGCAGUCAACACAAUAAGCAUUCCGCCUGGGGAGUACGGCUGCAAGGUUGAAACUCAAAUGAAUUGACGGGG
rnacentral:rRNA from 1 species